UACGGAGGGUGCAAACGUUGCUCGGAAUCAUUGGGCGUAAAGCGCACGUAGGCGGUCCGGCAAGUCGGGUGUGAAAGCCCUCGGCUUAACCGAGGAAGUGCAUUCGAAAACUACCCGGACUUGAAUACUGGAGAGGGUCGCGGGAAUUCCCGGUGUAGAGGUGAAAAUUCGUAGAUAUCGGGGAGGAACACCAGUGGCGAAGGCGGCGACCUGGACAGAUAUUGACGCUGAGGUGCGAAAGCGUGGGGAGCAAACAGG
rnacentral:rRNA from 1 species